rnacentral:rRNA from 1 species
AUUGAACGCUGGCGGCAGGCCUGACACAUGCAAGUCGAGCGGAUGAAGGGAGCUUGCUCCUGGAUUCAGCGGCGGACGGGUGAGUAAUGCCUAGGAAUCUGCCUGGUAGUUGGGGAUAACGUCCGGAAACGGGCGCUAAUACCGCAUACGUCCUGAGGUAGAAAGUGGGGGAUCUUCGGACCUCACGCUAUCAGAUGAGCCUAGGUCGGAUUAGCUAGUUGGUGAGGUAAAGGCCUACCAAGGCGACGAUCCGUAACUGGUCUGAGAGGAUGAUCAGUCACACUGGAACUGAGACACGGUCCAGACUCCUACGGGAGGCAGCAGUGGGGAAUAUUGGACAAUGGGCGAAAGCCUGAUCCAGCCAUGCCGCGUGUGUGAAGAAGGUCUUCGGAUUGUAAAGCACUUUAAGUUGGGAGGAAGGGCAGUAAGUUAAUACCUUGCUGUUUUGACGUUACCAACAGAAUAAGCACCGGCUAACUUCGUG